rnacentral:rRNA from 1 species
CCUGGCUCAUGACGAACGCUGGCGGCGCGCCUAACACAUGCAAGUCGAACGAGCGAGAGAGAGCUUGCUUUCUCGAGCGAGUGACGAACGGGUGAGUAACGCGUGAGGAACCUGCCUCAUAGAGGGGGACAACAGUUGGAAACGACUGCUAAUACCGCAUAAGCCCACGGGUCGGCAUCGACCAGAGGGAAAAGGAGCAAUCCGCUUUGAGAUGGCCUCGCGUCCGAUUAGCUGGUUGGUGAGGUAACGGCCCACCAAGGCAACGAUCGGUAGCCGGACUGAGAGGUUGAACGGCCACAUUGGGACUGAGACACGGCCCAGACUCCUACGGGAGGCAGCAGUGGGGAAUAUUGCACAAUGGGGGAAACCCUGAUGCAGCGACGCCGCGUGGAGGAAGAAGGUCUUCGGAUUGUAAACUCCUGUUGUUGAGGAAGAUAAUGACGGUACUCAACAAGGAAGUGACGGCUAACUACGUGCCAGCAGCCGCGGUAAAACGUAUGUCACAAGCGUUGUCCGGAAUUACUGGGUGUAAAGGGAGCGCAGGCGGGAAGACAAGUUGGAAGUGAAAUCCAUGGGCUCAACCCAUGAACUGCUUUCAAAACUGUUUUUCUUGAGUAGUGCAGAGGUAGGCGGAAUUCCCGGUGUAGCGGUGGAAUGCGUAGAUAUCGGGAGGAACACCAGUGGCGAAGGCGGCCUACUGGGCACCAACUGACGCUGAGGCUCGAAAGUGUGGGUAGCAAACAGGAUUAGAUACCCUGGUAGUCCACACUGUAAACGAUGAUUACUAGGUGUUGGAGGAUUGACCCCUUCAGUGCCGCAGUUAACACAAUAAGUAAUCCACCUGGGGAGUACGACCGCAAGGUUGAAACUCAAAGGAAUUGACGGGGGCCCGCACAAGCAGUGGAGUAUGUGGUUUAAUUCGACGCAACGCGAAGAACCUUACCAAGUCUUGACAUCCCUUGACGAUGCUGGAAACAGUAUUUCUCUUCGGAGCAAGGAGACAGGUGGUGCAUGGUUGUCGUCAGCUCGUGUCGUGAGAUGUUGGGUUAAGUCCCGCAACGAGCGCAACCCUUAUGGUCAGUUACUACGCAAGAGGACUCUGGCCAGACUGCCGUUGACAAAACGGAGGAAGGUGGGGAUGACGUCAAAUCAUCAUGCCCUUUAUGACUUGGGCUACACACGUACUACAAUGGCGUUAAACAAAGAGAAGCAAGACCGCGAGGUGGAGCAAAACUCAGAAACAACGUCCCAGUUCGGACUGCAGGCUGCAACUCGCCUGCACGAAGUCGGAAUUGCUAGUAAUCGCAGAUCAGCAUGCCGCGGUGAAUACGUUCCCGGGCCUUGUACACAC